AUAAGAGGUCCAGCCUGCCCAGUGACCUAGUUCAACGGCCGCGGUAUCCUAACCGUGCGAAGGUAGCGUAAUCACUUGUUCUUUAAAUGAGGACUAGUAUGAAUGGCACCACGAGGGUUAAACUGUCUCCUUUUUUUAAUCAGUGAAACUAAUCUCCCCGUGAAGAAGCGGGGAUUCUUUUAUAAGACGAGAAGACCCUAUGGAGCUUUAAACAAGUUAACACCUGCUACUAAUCUUCACUUUCCUGAACCACCACAUUAAGUAUAGCACCUCUGAUUAACAGUUUUCGAUUGGGGUGAUCAUGGAGCAAAAAUCAACCUCCACGACGAAAAGGAACACCUCCUUGAGCCAAAAGCUACAACUUUAAGCACUAAAAAACUAACGCACUUUGACCCAAUUCUUUGAGCAACGAACCAAGUUACCCUAGGGAUAACAGCGCAAUCCACUUUAAGAGCCCCUAUCGACAAGUGGGUUUACGACCUCGAUGUUGGAUCAGGGUAUCCCAGUGGUGCAGCCGCUACUAAAGGUUCGUUUGUUCAACGAUUAAAACCCUACGUGA
rnacentral:rRNA from 1 species